rnacentral:tRNA from 1 species
CAGGGAAUAGUUUAAAUAGAAUAUCAACUUUGGGUGUUGAUGGUAAGAAAUUAGUCUUUUCCUUGA